CACUAGGUUUUGCACUCUGCCUUAUUUGUUUUCUUAAGCCUUAUUCAUACCUUUGUAAAUAGUCCCUAUACUUAACUCUUCAAAUACCUAGUUAGAGUGAAAAAUUGAUUAUUGCCAGUACCCUUUCUGACAAUAUCUAUAACAGUAUUUUAUUUUUCUUCAUUGCUGACAAAGCUCUAAUUUUUUUUAAGUCUCCACCUUCUUCCCUACAGGUCUCUGCUCAGAGAAGUCAACCAUUUUCCUCAACAUCAUAAUCAUUACUAAUUACUCCACACCAAACAUAUUAAAUUCCAUUCAAUGUGUCAGUAAUUGGAUUGGGGGGUUAUUAAUAUGAUAUGAAGGGAGAUCUAAUAAGGGCUUCUAAUAAAGCUCUCAUGAACCUAAAAAAAACCCCAAAAAACAAAAAACCCACAAAUGAUGGGUCAGAACAUUGUAAAGUCUGACUGGAUGUGUGUGUGAUGGACAUGAUGGGAGCUGAAUUUGGUGCUAUACCAUCACACUAAUAUGGCACAGCAGGAACCUGGUCCUUUAAAGAUUUAAAUAAGCUAACAAAUCUAUCAGCCUUAGGAUUCCUCUCUCUUAUGUAUAUGUUCUGGGAUAUUAUAAAUUUUCUUCUCAGUAUUUAACUCAUUUUGAGUUGGUUCUCUCUUAUUUGUAGCUGAAGGAGAAACCAGAAGGGAACAUUUAGUGUUUAAAGCUCUCUGUUCAAAUUUUAAAAAUUAAUAUUUAUUUAUCAUUUAUAUACUUGUAAACACACCUUUUUAAAAAAAGAGGUGAGAGCAACUAGACCCUGGAAACCAAGACUAUUGGAAAUUUCAGUAGAUCAUGAAGUGCUCAGUAGUGGUAAUUAUGUAUUUUUGGGCCAAUAAAUCCUUGGACUUAUGAUAUUCUUAUAUCAUCAGACACUUAAUAAAUAUAUGCUAAAUGUAGAUUCGGAAGUUAGAAUGACAUACUCAAGGCUUAUAAUCAGGGAGUUAGGUUAUAUUAUGUUUUAGACACUCAGAAAGCAGCUGUAACAUCAGCUAGAGAAUGAGGGCAUACUCUCCCCCCUGCACCUCAGCUAGUACAGGGGGAAAGAACAUGUGUCUUUUUUCACCAAAUCUCAUGAGAUUCACUUAGAUUAAAGUUAACUCUAUUGCAAAAUAGAGGUUAACACUGGAUCUUGUGCCCUUUGGUCACACAAUAUAGAUUUGUGGAAGCCUGAAUGUAUCAUGAGUUUCUACAAUAAGAACUCCUGUAGUAAAAGGAAAAACCUCCUAAAUCCCUGGAGAUGUGCAGCUGGAUUAAGAUAUAGUGGCAUUAGCAGAUAUUUUUCUAGCUCUGUUUCAACACAAAAUGUACUAAAAACAUUAUUUAUAUAUGGAGUUCUGGUAUAUGAAAAUAUUGGUAUACUUAAAAAUAUAACCCCACAAUAAAUUCAUACCAUGUAAAACUAAUCUACAAAUCACCAGAAACAUUAUAUUAUUAUAUAUUAUAUUUUUGUUUGCCCUCUUAGAACUUAGAUUUUCAGGGAUAUUUUCAAAAUCUAUUACUUAAAAAAAAACAGAGGAUUGCAUUAUUUUACAGUAAGCUUAGAUAUUCAAAAUUAUUCUUCUGAAAAAUUUUUGAAUAAUAAGCAUUGUGGCAAUCCAAUGUUUAAAGGCAGUGCUAGAGAUUAUAAUAGUAAUUUGAGAAAGCAGUUAUAUCUUACAAUGUGUACCUCUUUAUCAUAGCCUUUCCCACUCCUCUAUCUACUGUCCCCUCCCCAAUUUAAAGGCAGAAUGGAAAGGAAAUAGUAAUGUGUAUGUCCUAAAAGGCCACAAGAAUGACCAGGACUGCAGAGUAAAGGCAGGAGGAAGCAGUCUUCAGCACUUACUGUAGUGAAGGUUUGGGGAAGGAUGGAUCAUGAACUAAUUGGCCUCAGAAUAUUCACACCAGCUAUUGGAGCCCUUUUCUUGAUCAUUGCUACAGGGUCACUGACUAUGUGGGACUGUGCUACAGAAAGUAAGAUGCAGUAAGAAAAAGCCUGAGAAGUGAAGAAUGGCUGUUAAUUAGACAGUAGUGAAUGAGCUGAGCAGUGAAAAUGUGGGACUACCAUACCUUGAGGAAAAAAUUGUCAGAUAUAAUAGCUUGCACAUUAGUGACAGCAAAGGAUAUCUGCAAAGGAUGGUUUUCUAAAGGUUGAGACUUUAUUCUUGCCUCAAAUUUCCUUACAUAGCAAAGAGGUUUAUCAUUCACCUAUCAUUGUUAGAAAAAUAACUAGGGCUUUGCAACUGUCUGCUGAACUUUACAGGUGUUUGCAAAGCAUUUAUUUGGCUCCUAAAUGUAGAUGUGUUCCACCAGUCUUACAUAAACAUUAUUAGGAGGAAUACAGUUUCUCAGCCAUAUUUCUCUUUUCAAUGUCUUUGUGUUUGCAAAUAUUUUUCCUGAAAUGUAAAUGGAACUUCCUUGUUCUCUUGCUAGGGUGUAGACUCAACUCUAAUAUUGAAACAAAAAUAGAAUCAUUGUGCCAUACAGUUGAGGUCCCUUCUUUGAGAUCAUGUAAUAAAAGAUAUUUUGUGUGCUGAAGAUUUGACAUGGAAGCCUGAGAGGUAUAAGGAAUAAUGCAAACACAUUUAAUGUAUGCGAUUCCCCAGGCAUUUUUAAUAGGAUUUUUAGGCACAACAUUUUACAUAACCACACAGAAACAGUAGUGUUUCAAUUCUUAUCUUUUAUCAUCAGCAGGAAACUAGAAAAUAGUGCUUCCUAUGCUAAAGAAAAAUUUGCUAGUGAUUACAAUUUUUAUAGUUGAGCUCCCUAUAGAUGAUUUUCUCCACUUGCAAAGAAAGUGGUAGUAACCAUCUCAUAUUUUAACAGAAGAAAUAGAAGGUAAUAGAUCCAUUUGCAUUGCAUUGCAUUUUAUUAGGUCCAGAAAGAGACUCCUCAAUUUUCAGAGGUUUUGUUUACGAAGAUAGUUUCUAUAUACUUGGCAAUAAUUUUAGUGUCUCUGUAGUUUACAAGCUUUCAAAAAGUCUAUGAUUGAUAAUGUUCCACACAUACAACAAUGAAACUGCUCUAGAGAAAACUUUUCUCUUCUUCUUGCUCCUAAUUUAAGUGAAUAGCUAACUUUUAAAUGCAUGAAACUCUGAUUAUAAAGUUUAAUCCAAAAGGAAUGUGAUUUUGCUAAUGAAAUUUGGUGUCCACAAAGAGAAAUGUGUUCUGUUGGAAAAUUCAGACAUCCAAGAAUUACUAAACAUCCUGCAGAAAAUAGACUGAGAAUCUCUAAGACUUAGUUUAACCCUGCACCUUGCAAAUGUAGAAAAUUUGUAUUAUUUGUAAAAUUAUGGAGGAGCCAAGAAAUAUAGAAAAUUCAUUUGCAGAGAUAAAAACUGAGCUAAAGGCAAUAAUGAGCAGAAUGAAUAAUGCAGAGGAAUGAAUUAGUGACAUGGAAGAUAAAAUAAUGGAAAUCACCCAAUCAGGACAGCAGACAGAAAACAAAAUGAAAAGACAUGAAAGCAAUAUAAGAGACCUAUGGGAUAAUAUAAAGUGGGCCAAUCUACACAUAAUAGGAAUUACAGAGGAGAAGAAAAAGGAAAGGGAAUUGAAAAUAUAUUUGAAGAAAUUAUGGCUGAAAACUUUCCAAAUCUAAAGGAAAUUGAUCAAGAUACAGGAAGUACAGAGGACCCCAAAUAAGCUGAACCCAAACAGGCCCACACCAAAACACAUUAUAAUAAAAAUGACAAAAGUUAAAGAAAAGAUUCUAAAGGCAGCAAGAGAAAACCAAAGUGUUAAGGGAACCCCCAUAAAGCUAUCAACUGAUUUCUCUACAGAAACACUACAGGCCAGAAGGGAGUGGCAAGAUAUAUUUAAAGUGUUAAAGGAAAAAAUUUGCAACCUAGAAUACUCUACCCAGCAAGGAUAUCAUUUAAAAUAGAAGGGGAAAUAAAGAAUUUCUCCAACAAACAAAAGCUAAAAGAGUACAGCAAUAUGAAAUCCAUUCUGAAAGAAAUAUUGAAAGGGCUCCUCUAAAUUAAAAAAAAAAAAAGUGAGAAGAAUUAGAUGGAGGAAACCACAAUUGGAAAGCAAUCAUUUUAAUAAGCCAACAUACAGAUCUAAACAUGAAGAUGUUAAAAAAAAGACAUAAAAACAUCAAAAUCAUACAAUGUGGGGAAGGAAAGUAAUAAAAUAUAGAUUCUUUUUUGAUUUUAAUGAUGUGUUUGAAAGUAAGAAGAUAUAGGAAGGGGUUAACAUACUUAAAAAACAGGGCAACCACAAAUCAAAACUGAACAUUACAUUCACAAAAACUGAAAA
rnacentral:lncRNA from 1 species